rnacentral:tRNA from 4 species
GGCUACGUAGCUCAGUUGGUUAGAGCACAUCACUCAUAAUGAUGAGGUCACAGGUUCGAAUCCCGUCGUAGCCACCA